ACGGAAAGAACGGAAAGAACGGAAAGAACCUCCACAGAGACAGAAACAUAGGGCAGAAAAUUAGGUGACAGUUCAAAAACAACAAAAAGAACGGAAAGAACGGAAAGAACCUCCACAGAGACAGAAACAUAGGGCAGAAAAUUAGGUGACAGUUCAAAAACAACAAAAAGAACGGAAAGAACGGAAAGAACGGAAAGAACCUCCACAGAGACAGAAACAUAGGGCAGAAAAUUAGGUGACAGUUCAAAAACAACAAAAAGAACGGAAAGAACGGAAAGAACCUCCACAGAGACAGAAACAUAGGGCAGAAAAUUAGGUGACAGGUCAAAAACAACAAAAAGAACGGAAAGAACGGAAAGAACGUAAAGAACCUCCACAGAGACAGAAACAUAGGGCAGAAAACUAGGUGACAAUUCAAAAAGAACUGAAAGAACGGAAAGAACGGAAAGAACCUCCACAGAGACAGAAACAUGGGGCAGAAAAUAAGGUGACAGUUCGGAAAGAACGGAAAGAACCUCCACAGAGACAGAAACAUAGGGCAGAAAAUUUGGUGACAGUUCAAAAACAACAACAGAAAGAACGGAAAGAAC
ensembl:lncRNA